ACACAUGCAAGUCGAGCGGAAACGAGUUAUCUGAACCUUCGGGGAACGAUAACGGCGUCGAGCGGCGGACGGGUGAGUAAUGCCUAGGAAAUUGCCCUGAUGUGGGGGAUAACCAUUGGAAACGAUGGCUAAUACCGCAUGAUGCCUACGGGCCAAAGAGGGGGACCUUCGGGCCUCUCGCGUCAGGAUAUGCCUAGGUGGGAUUAGCUAGUUGGUGAGGUAAGGGCUCACCAAGGCGACGAUCCCUAGCUGGUCUGAGAGGAUGAUCAGCCACACUGGAACUGAGACACGGUCCAGACUCCUACGGGAGGCAGCAGUGGGGAAUAUUGCACAAUGGGCGCAAGCCUGAUGCAGCCAUGCCGCGUGUGUGAAGAAGGCCUUCGGGUUGUAAAGCACUUUCAGUCGUGAGGAAGGUGGUGUAGUUAAUAGCUGCAUUAUUUGACGUUAGCGACAGAAGAAGCACCGGCUAACUCCGUGCCAGCAGCCGCGGUAAUACGGAGGGUGCGAGCGUUAAUCGGAAUUACUGGGCGUAAAGCGCAUGCAGGUGGUUUGUUAAGUCAGAUGUGAAAGCCCGGGGCUCAACCUCGGAAUAGCAUUUGAAACUGGCAGACUAGAGUACUGUAGAGGGGGGUAGAAUUUCAGGUGUAGCGGUGAAAUGCGUAGAGAUCUGAAGGAAUACCGGUGGCGAAGGCGGCCCCCUGGACAGAUACUGACACUCAGAUGCGAAAGCGUGGGGAGCAAACAGGAUUAGAUACCCUGGUAGUCCACGCCGUAAACGAUGUCUACUUGGAGGUUGUGGCCUUGAGCCGUGGCUUUCGGAGCUAACGCGUUAAGUAGACCGCCUGGGGAGUACGGUCGCAAGAUUAAAACUCAAAUGAAUUGACGGGGGCCCGCACAAGCGGUGGAGCAUGUGGUUUAAUUCGAUGCAACGCGAAGAACCUUACCUACUCUUGACAUCCAGAGAACUUUCCAGAGAUGGAUUGGUGCCUUCGGGAACUCUGAGACAGGUGCUGCAUGGCUGUCGUCAGCUCGUGUUGUGAAAUGUUGGGUUAAGUCCCGCAACGAGCGCAACCCUUAUCCUUGUUUGCCAGCGAGUAAUGUCGGGAACUCCAGGGAGACUGCCGGUGAUAAACCGGAGGAAGGUGGGGACGACGUCAAGUCAUCAUGGCCCUUACGAGUAGGGCUACACACGUGCUACAAUGGCGCAUACAGAGGGCGGCCAACUUGCGAAAGUGAGCGAAUCCCAAAAAGUGCGUCGUAGUCCGGAUUGGAGUCUGCAACUCGACUCCAUGAAGUCGGAAUCGCUAGUAAUCGUGGAUCAGAAUGCCACGGUGAAUACGUUCCCGGGCCUUGUACACACCGCCCGUCACACCAUGGGAGUGGGCUGCAAAAGAAGUAGGUAGUUUAACCUUCGGGGGGACGCUUACCACUUUG
rnacentral:rRNA from 1 species